rnacentral:rRNA from 1 species
AUUGAACGCUGGCGGCGUGCCUAACACAUGCAAGUCGAGCGGUAACAGGUGUAGCAAUACAUGCUGACGAGCGGCGGACGGGUGAGUAACGCUUGGGAAUCUGCCUGAUAGUGGGGGACAACCCGGGGAAACUCGGGCUAAUACCGCAUACGCACUACGGUGGAAAGCCGGGGACCGCAAGGCCUGGCGCUAUCAGAUGAGCCCAAGUCGGAUUAGCUAGUUGGAGGUAACGGCCUACCAAGGCGACGAUCCGUAACUGGUCUGAGAGGACGACCAGUCACACCGGAACUGAGACACGGUCCGGACUCCUACGGGAGGCAGCAGUGGGGAAUAUUGGACAAUGGGCGAAAGCCUGAUCCAGCGACGCCGCGUGGGU